UCCCUCGUAGCUCAGUGGGUAAAGAAUCUGCCUGCAAUGCAGGAGACCCAGGUUCAGUCCCUGGCUCUGGAA
rnacentral:tRNA from 1 species